rnacentral:rRNA from 2 species
GCAGUCGAACGACUCUGGUAUUGAUUGGUGCUCGCAUCAUGAUUUACAUUUGAGUGAGUGGCGAACUGGUGAGUAACACGUGGGAAACCUGCCCAGAAGCGGGGGAUAACACCUGGAAACAGAUGCUAAUACCGCAUAACAACUUGGACCGCAUGGUCCGAGUUUGAAAGAUGGCUUCGGCUAUCACUUUUGGAUGGUCCCGCGGCGUAUUAGCUAGAUGGUGGGGUAACGGCUCACCAUGGCAAUGAUACGUAGCCGACCUGAGAGGGUAAUCGGCCACAUUGGGACUGAGACACGGCCCAAACUCCUACGGGAGGCAGCAGUAGGGAAUCUUCCACAAUGGACGAAAGUCUGAUGGAGCAACGCCGCGUGAGUGAAGAAGGGUUUCGGCUCGUAAAACUCUGUUGUUAAAGAAGAACAUAUCUGAGAGUAACUGUUCAGGUAUUGACGGUAUUUAACCAGAAAGCCACGGCUAACUACGUGCCAGCAGCCGCGGUAAUACGUAGGUGGCAAGCGUUGUCCGGAUUUAUUGGGCGUAAAGCGAGCGCAGGCGGUUUUUUAAGUCUGAUGUGAAAGCCUUCGGCUCAACCGAAGAAGUGCAUCGGAAACUGGGAAACUUGAGUGCAGAAGAGGACAGUGGAACUCCAUGUGUAGCGGUGAAAUGCGUAGAUAUAUGGAAGAACACCAGUGGCGAACGCGGCUGUCUGGUCUGUAACUGACGCUGAGGCUCGAAAGUAUGGGUAGCAACAGGAUUAGAUACCCUGGUAGUCCAUACCGUAACGAUGAUGCUAGUGUUGAGGGUUUCCGCCCUUCAGUGCUGCAGCUAACGCAUAGCAUCGCUGGGAGUACGCGCAGCUGAAACUCAAG